CGCGGGACCGUCCCGUCGCGGUGUGUCACCGACAGGGUGGUCCCAACCUGGCAGAUGGAGGGGGGCCGUCCUCUGCCCCUGCUUCCCGGCACUGAGCAGCUGGUAACUUUGCGGCCAAGGACGGCCGUCUUCCCCGAGGGCAUCUUUUGUCUCCCUUAUUGCCGCGGCCCGGGAAUGUGAUCGCGAACUCCAAGAUGCUGGGGCAGAUCCGCAUCCUGCCGACCCCCCCGGCCUCGGGGUGACUGCGCUGUCCGCAGGGUGCCAGCCGGGUAGCCUACACAGACAGCAGCAGUUCCAGUGUUUUAAGAUCUCCUUCUGAUCUCCUGUGUCUAUAUUCAGCCCUGAUGUAAUUGUGCGAAAUCCAUAAAGGCUGAAACGUUCACAAGCAUGCUGAGAAGGAGCAGAGGAGGACCUGCUCCUCACAGGGAGGUGGAAAGACCCCACGGUUGACAGCCACCAGCUGCUUCUGGCUGUCACUGCUCCCACCUGGCACCAUGGCUCACCUCACCCCGCAGCAACCUGCACCAGGGAUGGAGAUGACAGGGUCUGUAGGCUGCCGGCUUUUCUGAGGAAAAACAUUCAUUGCCAUGCCUUCCUGUGAUCUUGUGCAUGCACUGGAUGACUCGGGACUGCAUUCCUUUGCCACAGGUAACGGAGCACUGGAACACACAGAAGACAAGACAUUCACUGGAAAGGUAUUUUUGCCCGCAAAACAUGAGGUGAAAUGCUAGUCCAGCUAAAGUCAAUGGCUGUUACAUCAGUUAUCAACAAUCUGAGAUUUCUGCCUUCUAUUCGGUAACCUAGAUGAAAGUUAACUCCUAUAUGAAAUAACAGACCAAAAGGAAAUACCUCUGAAGGACUGUUUCCAGCAUGCCGUGGCUGUCAAGGUCCAAUUUGCAGAGCCAGUGACGAAACUGAAAUGCAGCAACCUGCACGAAGGGAGCAAGGGCCAUUCUCCUGUAUUUGUUUUCUAA